UGGAUUAUAUUUAAAUAUAAUAUUUGAUUUGCAUUCAAAAGGUGUUUCAAAAAAACUAAUCUUA
rnacentral:tRNA from 2 species